GUUGUGCGGUGGUGGUGCACUGUAAAAAUUCACACGGUAUGAAAUAGGUAUUUUCGCGAUGUGAAAAAUGAAAGGAAAAACUGUUUCAUGAUCUACAGAGAGAUGUUUUCACGCCCGGUGGCUUGGCGCAGUGGAUAGAAAAAGCAACGGAGAUGAUUCCGCUUUAUUCAUCGCAUAGUGAUACAACCGAAGAAGUGGGACCCUGACCUCGGUGGUUAGUGUCUGGAGGCCGUGAGUGCACUUGUCAAGAGGCAGACCGUCGAGAGGAGACCAACAAAGAGCUGGAGUAUAAGGCAAAGGCCACAGAACAGACAAGCCCAUUUAUUGCUCGAUCACGAGUUUCAAUGAAUCUGAUGCUCAAAGGAGAACACAAUUUCACUUCGGUGGGCUCCAACACACAUUAACGCCCUCUUCUUUAUUCUCCAUCCCAUUGUCAUGCUCAGCAGGUUGCCGGCUGCGGUAGCACACUCCAAAUGACAUAAUUGUCAUUUCGAAAAUGCAGUUACAUCGCCGCAUAAUUCAUAAGCGAUGGGUAAUAAAGUGCCUGGACACUCACUGAUUCCGUGAUUCUGGCCUUGCACAACUGCAAGACCCGAAUUUAUAGAUCAUUGAAGUAGUAUGAAUAUCAAUCAAAUUUUGAAGAUGAAUAUUUGGGAUAAAUUCGAAACGGAAGUUGAUAAAAAUAUAAACGUUCUAGUUAAGUUUGUGCCCAAUCGGGAGUCUAGUAUCGUUGAUAAUAAUUAAUUUGUAAGUGCCAAAAUAACACGGAGUCUUAUGAGAAAAUGAA